ACCGCCCCCUCCCACGCCCUGAAACCAAAUCAGUCGAUUCCUCUACAGAAGGAAACAGCAGUCGGCUGCCGGCCACCUCUCCCCGUCUACCUGAACCAGAGGCCAGGACCUCUUGAGCGCUUGGAAAACUGCAGAAAAACCAGUGAGAAGGCCCUCCAGCUGGCAGCACCUUGUAACUUAGCCAAAGGGGGAGAAAAAUCCCACGGGUUCCAGAACCGUUUUAAUUUCCAAAGACUUAAGGAAACUCCGAUCCAUCUGAGGAGUCAUUCCCCCUCGCAGAGUUACAAGAAGAAGGAAGAGAUCCCCAGGAUCACAGCUGGAAGACUUUCCAUCUCUAGGCUUAGCUCCUGAUGCCUACACAGAAAUGGACAUCAUUCGAUGAAUGACAAACCUGUCUACAAAAUACCAAAAGUCCCAGUGCAAUGGUCACAGGCCAGCACUGCGCUCCUGGCUGAAUUAUAAAGCACGAGGUUUUGGGGAAAAAAACAUAUGACAGUUGACAACUCCAGAGGCCAGGCCAAAUCUGCCCCCAUCUCCCCCGUGGAUGGACCCUCAGAAAGAAUAAGCAGUUAUAAAAAUGUCCAACAAGCGACUCAUAGAACAAUCUACUCCCCAUCUCCAGUCUUCGUCGUAACCUCCUCUAAUCCAACAGACGAACCCCACUGCAUGGAGAAGGAGCUAAUGGUUUCCCUUCAAGCUCACACUUCCAAAGCACAGACAUUUGACCAGAGACCAUUUUUUAACUCUUUCACUUUGCACACAAAGUUAGGUUUCGUCUGCACAGUUUAGAAACACCACUGACCACCACACCAGAACUAAUUUUCCCAAAGCUGUAUUGCAGGGAAUUCAAUCAAGGCACAGAUCAACUUUGCCAGCUCUACAAAUAUGUUCCAAAAUGAGCCAGCCACGAGAAAAAUAUACCGACUGUACUACUCAUUAGAUUAGUAGUACUUCUUCCCAUAUAUCCUGGACAGGAGGGUAAGACUCCCCAGCGAAGGCAGUCUUGGGCCCCCCAGGUCCCUGGAGUCUGCACCCAGCCUUGCACACUAGAGAUGGAGAACGGGACACCCUCCCAGAGCCCACUGCCAUCUCCAGCACCACGUCACCUCCAUGUCCCAAAGCUGUUGGGUACCAAGGCCCAGGAGCUCAUUCUCUCAGGAACCACCCCCAGAUACUUUUUGAAAGUACCCUGCGGCCAGUGCUGGAAUCUCAGUCCAGACUGGCCAAAGGCUCCGUAAAAAGUGGGUGAAGUAGAAAGUUGAGGUCUGUGCGUUCGGUCUUAAGAAACCCUCAACAUCCACAGGGAUCUGAUUCCCCUGCCAUUUAGAGCCCCUCUCUGGCUUCUGCCAACCCCAGCUCCCUCUGAAGCCAAAUCAAAACGCGUGGCUUCUUUGUGAUCCCAGCUUCCUAGCUGAGCCUCCAGUGGUUAGAGGAGAAAAAAUAAGCCAUGCCUGGACCUUCCUGGAUCUGCUGUGAACGAACAACCAAGUUACGCUGGCCACAGACAAAACAUGCUUUACUCAGGAAAAGCAGGGUUUCUAAAUCAUUUUCUGGGGCUCUUCCCUCUCAUCCUCCACUGCCCGUUUUUCUAGAUGAAAAUCUACAACUCCUGAGUAGGAAGAACGUUAUUAAGACUGACUGCCCUGACUUAUCUAAACAGAGCUAUUUGUU